GACGAACCGUGCGAACGUUGUUCGGAAUCACUGGGCUUAAAGGGCGCGUAGGCGGGUUUGCAAGUCCGGGGUGAAAUCCCACAGCUCAACUGUGGAACUGCCUCGGAUACUGUGAGUCUCGAGGGUGGCAGGGGUAUGCGGAACUAUCGGUGGAGCGGUGAAAUGCGUUGAUAUCGAUAGGAACUCCGGUGGCGAAGGCGGCAUACUGGUCCACUUCUGACGCUGAGACGCGAAAGCGUGGGGAGCAAACAGG
rnacentral:rRNA from 1 species